UCCGUACGUGAUUCAGGGAUCCUCAAUGAAAGUGGGCUUAAGCAGUGUUUUGACGCUGGUAUAAUCCCACGUGGAUGCUCACUGCUAGGAGACCAUGGGUAUCCCUGUAAACUUUGGCUGCUGACACCUUAUCUUAAUCCCCAGCCAGGACCACAAGCAAAUUACAAUAUAGCACACUCAAAGACCAGGAAUGUUGUGGAGAGGGGAAUUGACCAGCUGAAACGAAGAUUUCCAGUUCUCCACACUGAAAUAAGGGUCAGUCCACCCCUGAAGGUGUGCCAGAUUGUCUAUGUAUGUGCAGUGCUGCACAACAUUUGCAAGAGGUGCAAUGUUCCUCUUGAUGAUGAGCAUCUGGAUAAUCAAAAUGCUGCCCCAGAUCAUGAUGUUGGGGCAAUAGCACCAGCAGCUUGGGGACAAGACAAUGGACGAACCUUCAGGGACCACUUUGCUGCAACUCACUUCAGACUGCAGUAAUGUUCAAAAGACAUUGAAGACAGAGCUUCCAGGUCGUCCCAGAACACUGAUGCUUGGGCUCUUCUAGCGUUGCUCUCCCGGCAGCAACAAGGCCAGCACCAUGGGACUUCUCGGGUGAUGGCCCCAACACAAUGCAGGUUUCGUUAGGGCUGUAACAGAAAGAGAUGAAAAUGUCGAGUGUCUUAUUAUGGCUAUCUGUGAUGUGUUAGUUAAUAGAUUCUGCACCUUUCUAAUCACAAAUUUUGCUAGUCCCUCUAACCACUAUUUGGUACUUGUCUGAAUGUAAGGAAAAACUCUGACCCUACACUGAGUGCUGGAAAUCUCGCAUGCCUGCAAUGCUCAUCGAUUGAAAGAUGCCCACUUUUCCUUAUUCUUACUCUAGCUUUCUUAUUUGCACCCCUCACUCCACCUCCUCCUCCUUUUCUUCACCUUUGCCACUCUGCCACAUCAGUCCCAACUCAUCUCUCUCUUUGUCUCAUGUCAUUCAUUAACUUAUGAAUGCAUUUCAGAAUAUCUGUAUAGAUUUAAUUCUCUUAAGAUGAUAAUAGUGGUAUGCAUACUACAACACACAACAAUGAAGAUCUACAGUUGCACCCUUAAGAGGAGUUGCUUGAACAGCCAUAACCACCAACGUUAGCAGAAUGACAUA